UACAGAGGGUGCAAGCGUUAAUCGGAAUUACUGGGCGUAAAGAGCUCGUAGGCGGUUUGUCGCGUCUGCUGUGAAAACUGGAGGCUCAACCUCCAGCCUGCAGUGGGUACGGGCAGACUAGAGUGCGGUAGGGGAGAUUGGAAUUCCUGGUGUAGCGGUGGAAUGCGCAGAUAUCAGGAGGAACACCGAUGGCGAAGGCAGAUCUCUGGGCCGUAACUGACGCUGAGGAGCGAAAGCAUGGGGAGCGAACAGG
rnacentral:rRNA from 1 species